UACGGGGGGGGCAAGCGUUGUUCGGAAUUACUGGGCGUAAAGGGCUCGUAGGCGGCCAACUAAGUCGGAUGUGAAAUCCCCAGGCUUAACCUGGGAACUGCAUCCGAUACUGGAUGGCUUGAAUCCGGGAGAGGGAUGCAGAAUUCCUGGUGUAGCGGUGAAAUGCGCAGAUAUCAGGAGGAACACCAAUUGCGAAGGCAGCUCGCUGGGACGUUACUGACGCUGAGACGCGAAAGCGUGGGGAGCAAACAGG
rnacentral:rRNA from 1 species